rnacentral:rRNA from 3 species
GAUUGCAGAAUUCCGCGAAUCAUCGAGUCUUUGAACGCAAGUUGCGCCCGAGGCUUGUCCAAGGGCAUUUCCGCUAGAGCGUCACC